UACAGAGGUCUCAAGCGUUGUUCGGAUUCAUUGGGCGUAAAGGGCAUGCAGGCGGUCCGACACGUUUUGUGUGACAGCGGGUGGCUUAACUACCCGAGGAUACGAAAGACGGUUGGACUUGAGGACUCGAGAGGGACACGGAAUUCCGGGUGGAGUGGUGAAAUGCGUAGAGAUCCGGAGGAACACCGAAGGCGAAGGCAGUGUCCUGGCGAGUGACUGACGCUGAGGUGCGAAAGCCAGGGGAGCGAACGGG
rnacentral:rRNA from 1 species